rnacentral:rRNA from 1 species
UGAACGCUAGCGAUAGGCUUAACACAUGCAAGUCGAGGGGCAGCGAGGGUAGCAAUACCUGUCGGCGACCGGCGCACGGGUGAGUAACGCGUAUGUAACCUGCCCGCAACAGGGGGAUAACCCGGCGAAAGUCGGACUAAUACCGCAUAAAACAGGGGUCCCGCAUGGGAAUAUUUGUUAAAGAUUUAUCGGUUGCGGAUGGGCAUGCGUACCAUUAGGUAGUUGGUGAGGUAACGGCUCACCAAGCCUUCGAUGGUUAGGGGUUCUGAGAGGAAGGUCCCCCACACUGGUACUGAGACACGGACCAGACUCCUACGGGAGGCAGCAGUGAGGAAUAUUGGUCAAUGGGCGAGAGCCUGAACCAGCCAAGUCGCGUGAAGGAUGACUGCCCUAUGGGUUGUAAACUUCUUUUACAAGGGAAUAAAAUGAGAUACGUGUAUUUUAUUGCAUGUACCUUGGGAAUAAGCAUCGGCUAACUCCGUG